rnacentral:rRNA from 1 species
UAAUACCGGAUAAUUCUUUCCCUCACAUGAGGRAAAGCUGAAAGAUGGCAUCUCGCUAUCACUUACAGAUGGGCCCGCGGCGCAUUAGCUAGUUGGUGAGGUAACGGCUCACCAAGGCVACGAUGCGUAGCCGACCUGAGAGGGUGAUCGGCCACACUGGGACUGAGACACGGCCCAGACUCCUACGGGAGGCAGCAGUAGGGAAACUUCCGCAAUGGACGAAAGUCUGACGGAGCAACGCCGCGUGAGUGAUGAAGGUUUUCGGAUCGUAAAACUCUGUUGUCAGGGAAGAACAAGUACCGGAGUAACUGCCGGUACCUUGACGGUACCUGACCAGAAAGCCACGGCUAACUACGUGCC